AGUUUUCUUCAGUCUGUGAAGAGAUCUCAUCAUGUAUCAACCUUCAAGAGCUGAUGAAGCUUUUACGAUGAAUGAAGCA
rfam:Schistosoma haematobium scaffold1127_2, whole genome shotgun sequence.